AUGAUUAAAAACCUUAUUAUCUCCUCUUGGAACGUUAGGGGCCUAGGGAGGCACGCAAAAUGCACCGAUGUCAAGGCCGGCAUCGCCGCAACCAACUGCUCGAUUUUGUGCUGCCAGGAGUCUAAGUUAGAAGACAUAGAUCAGAUUAAAGCAAUGACGUUUCUGCCUCCAACCCUUAAAGACCUAGAUUUCAUCCCAUCGGUUGGUGCCUCGGGAGGUACCUUAACCACUUGGGAUAGCAACCUAUGGGAAUGCUCUACCAUCUCUAAGACACAAUUUUCCCUCUACUGCAAGUCAAAAGCAGACGACCUCUCUUUCACUAUAACCAAUGUUUAUGGCCCAUGCGACUCUGCUAACAAGAGUACCUUUCUGGAUUCUCUUGUUGACCUCUCUCUGUCAAUUUCCGGGCUUUGGGCCAUCCUUGGAGACUUUAAUCUCAUCUUGCGGCCUUCUGAAAAAUCUACGGCCAACUUCAAUUCCCACGAGGCUCUUCUUUUCUCUAACGCGAUCCAAAACAUGCAGCUCCAUGACUUGCCUCUCCUGGAUAGACUUUUCACCUGGACGAACCAACAAGACGCCCCCAUCUUAGUUAGACUCGGUCGUGCAUUAGUUAAUAUUGCCUGGGUUCAGAAAUUCCCAGACAGCUCUCACUUCGCUACGAGAUCCACGUCCAACCAUGUUCCCAUCCAGCUUACCGCUGCCACCCACAUCCCGAACCUGCGAUUUUUUGCCUCAACAACCCUUUACUGGCUAACCCCUCCUUCCAAGCCCAGGUGGCCUCUAACUGGGCCAGUGUUGGCGGCAUGCCGCGAGGGGUUCCGCUGGCCUGAUUACCCUACGCCUCAAGAGAACUAG
rnacentral:rRNA from 1 species